rnacentral:rRNA from 1 species
GGUGAGUAACACGUGGGUAACCUGCCUGUAAGACUGGGAUAACUCCGGGAAACCGGGGCUAAUACCGGAUGCUUGAUUGAACCGCAUGGUUCCAAUCAUAAAAGGUGGCUUUCAGCUACCACUUACUGAUGGACCCGCGGCGCAUUAGCUAGUUGGUGAGGUAACGGCUCACCAAGGCGACGAUGCGUAGCCGACCUGAGAGGGUGAUCGGCCACACUGGGACUGAGACACGGCCCAGACUCCUACGGGAGGCAGCAGUAGGGAAUCUUCCGCAAUGGACGAAAGUCUGACGGAGCAACGCCGCGUGAGUGAAGAAGGUUUUCGGAUCGUAAAACUCUGUUGUUAGGGAAGAACAAGUACCGUUCGAAUAGGGCGGCACCUUGACGGUACCUAACCAGAAAGCCACGGCUAACUACGUGCCAGCAGCCGCGGUAAUACGUAGGUGGCAAGCGUUGUCCGGAAUCAUUGGGCGUAAAGCGCGCGCAGGCGGUUUCUUAAGUCUGAUGUGAAAGCCCCCGGCUCAACCGGGGAGGGUCAUUGGAAACUGGGGAACUUGGGUGCAGAAGAGGAGAGUGGAAUUCCACGUGUAGCGGUGAAAUGCGUAGAGAUGUGGAGGAACACCAGUGGCGAAGGCGACUCUCUG